AUUGAACGCUGGCGGCAGGCCUAACACAUGCAAGUCGAGCGGAUGAAGGGAGCUUGCUCCUGGAUUCAGCGGCGGACGGGUGAGUAAUGCCUAGGAAUCUGCCUGGUAGUGGGGGAUAACGUCCGGAAACGGGCGCUAAUACCGCAUACGUCCUGAGGGAGAAAGUGAGGGAUCUUCGGACCUCACGCUAUCAGAUGAGCCUAGGUCGGAUUAGCUAGUUGGUGGGGUAAAGGCCUACCAAGGCGACGAUCCGUAACUGGUCUGAGAGGAUGAUCAGUCACACUGGAACUGAGACACGGUCCAGACUCCUACGGGAGGCAGCAGUGGGGAAUAUUGGACAAUGGGCGAAAGCCUGAUCCAGCCAUGCCGCGUGUGUGAAGAAGGUCUUCGGAUUGUAAAGCACUUUAAGUUGGGAGGAAGGGCAGUAAGUCAAUACCUUGCUGUUUUGACGUUACCAACAGAAUAAGCACCGGCUAACUUCGUG
rnacentral:rRNA from 1 species